rnacentral:rRNA from 1 species
UCCUUCCGAAAGCAACCAGACUCCCAGAAUUUCCCCGAAAGGCCCCAACCAGGCUGUUUUUCGGUAAGGUUCGCCAAGGGUUUUAAUAGGGUAAUUUUAAGGUUUCUUAGCCGUCACCCUCGAGGCUAGACCAACUAUCUUCCGUCCGAAUUUGCCAGGGCCCCAAGCCCAAGACAUUGGAAUUGUAUAACGUUCCGGCCGGGCUUCCCUCGUGGGGGGGAGGAAUUCGCAUUUCGUUCCGGAGAAACGCACUGCGAAGUGACGGACAUGCAAGUCGGGAAGCGAAGGCCGCCGCCAAAACAAGGACUGUCGAUCAGGUAAGAACGCGUGGCGAGCAAGCAUGAGUAGCUACCUUGGUCGUCCACGCAGUAAACGACGUCGACUAGGAGGUCGCGCCCUUGAGGCGUUGCUUCCGGAGCUAACGCGUUAAGUCGACCGCCUGGGGAGUACGGCCGCAAGGUUAAAACUCAAAUGAAUUGACGGGGGCCCGCACAAGCGGUGGAGCAUGUGGUUUAAUUCGAUGCAACGCGAAGAACCUUACCUACUCUUGACAUCCAGAGAACUUAGCAGAGAUGCUUUGGUGCCUUCGGGAACUCUGAGACAGGUGCUGCAUGGCUGUCGUCAGCUCGUGUUGUGAAAUGUUGGGUUAAGUCCCGCAACGAGCGCAACCCUUAUCCUUUGUUGCCAGCGCGUGAUGGCGGGAACUCAAAGGAGACUGCCGGUGAUAAACCGGAGGAAGGUGGGGAUGACGUCAAGUCAUCAUGGCCCUUACGAGUAGGGCUACACACGUGCUACAAUGGCGUAUACAAAGGGAAGCGACCCUGCGAGGGCAAGCGGAACUCAUAAAGUACGUCGUAGUCCGGAUUGGAGUCUGCAACUCGACUCCAUGAAGUCGGAAUCGCUAGUAAUCGUAGAUCAGAAUGCUACGGUGAAUACGUUCCCGGGCCUUGUACACACCGCCCGUCACACCAUGGGAGUGGGUUGCAAAAGAAGUAGGUAGCUUAACCUCCGGGAGGGCGCUUACCACUUUUGAUUCAUGACUGGGGGAAGUCGAACCAAGGAACCGUGACCCC